rnacentral:rRNA from 1 species
UGUCAGCCGCCGCGGUAAUACAGAGGGUGCGAGCGUUAAUCGGAUUUACUGGGCGUAAAGCGUGCGUAGGCGGCUUUUUAAGUCGGAUGUGAAAUCCCCGAGCUUAACUUGGGAAUUGCAUUCGAUACUGGGAAGCUAGAGUAUGGGAGAGGAUGGUAGAAUUCCAGGUGUAGCGGUGAAAUGCGUAGAGAUCUGGAGGAAUACCGAUGGCGAAGGCAGCCAUCUGGCCUAAUACUGACGCUGAGGUACGAAAGCAUGGGGAGCAAACAGGAUUAGAUACCCUGGUAGUCCAUGCCGUAAACGAUGUCUACUAGCCGUUGGGGCCUUUGAGGCUUUAGUGGCGCAGCUAACGCGAUAAGUAGACCGCCUGGGGAGUACGGUCGCAAGACUAAAACUCAAAGGAAUUGACGG